rnacentral:pre_miRNA from 1 species
AUAACACUCUGACCAUCGGUCUACAGAGCAAUUCCACACGCUCGGCGGAAAAUCUUCCCUUUGUCGU